GACCGGAAGUCUCUGACACUCUCAACAGAAGUCUUUGGUGAGGAGGCGUCUCCCCUGUGCGUGUGUCCGUCUUCCAAGUCAAGCUGAUUGGCUGGGAAGUGGAGGUUGGAGAGGUUGAACUAAGGGAAGUUGUGUUUCCCAGAUGACCUCUGCAGGGUGGCAGAGACGCAAGAUGGCCUUGGGAAACACAGGCAAAAAUGUUCAUUGCUCAUGUCUUUCCGCAACCACAGUAGAAAGGAAUGCCCCAGCACAGAUUAAGGAAGUAGUGUGAGUGUGCGCCACCUGCGUCUGCGGGCCAGAAGAUGCACUGGAUCCUCUGGAGCUGGAGGUACAGGCUGAUGCGAGCCUCCUGGACCAAAUCCAGGUCCUGUACAAGAGCAAUACACGCGCUAAACCUCUGGGCCUUCACCCCACUCCUCAGAAACCUGGCAGACUUUCUAGCGAUCUGCAAGAGCCCAGCAGAAAUCCAAAUUUUUAAAAUAUUUUGCGGGAAUUCUCAAUUUUUAAAAUAUGCAGACUCAGAUCCUCUCAUGACCAAGAAACACCAAGUGACUAAAGUUCACAAAACAAAAGAAAAAUAAAUAUUUUAAAGUCUA